GCUUGGUAAGUUUAAGGAACGUACUCGGUUACUAACGUAACCUCGGUUCCCUGAAAUAAGGGAACGAGUACUGUGUUGCUGGC